UUGAACGCUGGCGGCGUGCUUAACACAUGCAAGUCGAACGCGAAAGGGACGUUCGGUCCUGAGUAAAGUGGCGCACGGGUGAGUAACGCGUGGAUAAUCUGCCCUUAUGAUCGGGAUAACAGUUGGAAACGGCUGCUAAUACCGGAUACGCUCAAAAUGAACUUUUUGAGGAAAGAUGGCCUCUGCUUGCAUGCUAUCACGUAAGGAUGAGUCCGCGUCCCAUUAGCUUGUUGGCGGGGUAACGGCCCACCAAGGCAACGAUGGGUAGCCGAUUUGAGAGGAUGAUCGGCCACACUGGAACUGAAACACGGUCCAGACUCCUACGGGAGGCAGCAGUGGGGAAUAUUGCGCAAUGGGCGAAAGCCUGACGCAGCGACGCCGCGUGAGGGAUGAAAGGUUUUCGGAUCGUAAACCUCUGUCAGAAGGGAAGAAACUACGUUGUGCUAAUCAGCAGCGUACUGACGGUACCUUCAAAGGAAGCACCGGCUAACUCCGUGCCAGCAGCUGC
rnacentral:rRNA from 1 species